AUUGAACGCUGGCGGCAGGCCUAACACAUGCAAGUCGAGCGGAGCGGCGGACGGGGGAGUAAUGCCUAGGAAUCUGCCUGGUCGUGGGGGAUAACGUCAGGAAACGGGCGCUAAUACCACAUACUCUCAGCAGAGCAUAGGUCGGAUUAGCUAGUUGGUGGGGUAACGGCCUACCAAGGCGACGAUCCGUAGCUGGUCUGAGAGGAUGAUCAGUCACACUGGAACUGAGACACGGUCCAGACUCCUACGGGAGGCAGCAGUGGGGAAUAUUGGACAAUGGGCGAAAGCCUGAUCCAGCCAUGCCGCGUGUGUGAAGAAGGUCUUCGGAUUGUAAAGCACUUUAAGUUGGGAGGCGUUACCCACAGAAGAAGCACCGGCUAACUCCGUGCCAGCAGCCGCGGUAAUUC
rnacentral:rRNA from 1 species